UACGUAGGGUGCGAGCGUUGUCCGGAAUUAUUGGGCGUAAAGAGCGUGUAGGCGGCCAGGUAGGUCUGCUGUGAAAACUCGAGGCUCAACCUCGAGCCUGCAUUCGAUACUGGGCGGCUAGAGUCGUGGUAGGGGGAUCUGGAAUUCCUGGUGUAGCGGUGGAAUGCGCAGAUAUCAGGAGGAACACCGGUGGCGAAGGCGGGAUCCUGGGCCAGUACGUGACGCUGAGGCACGAAAGCGUGGGGAGCAAACAGGG
rnacentral:rRNA from 1 species